GACGUAGGGCGCGAGCGUUGUCCGGAUUUAUUGGGCGUAAAGAGCUCGUAGGCGGCUUGUUGCGUCAGCUGUGAAAACCCGCAGCUCAACUGUGGGCUUGCAGCUGAUACGGGCAGGCUUGAGUUCGGUAGGGGAGACUGGAAUUCCUGGUGUAGCGGUGAAAUGCGCAGAUAUCAGGAGGAACACCGGUGGCGAAGGCGGCAUCCUGGACCGGUAUUGACGCUGAGGCGCGAAAGCCAGGGGAGCAAACGGG
rnacentral:rRNA from 1 species